rnacentral:rRNA from 1 species
UACGGGGGGGGCGAGCGUUGUUCGGAUUUACUGGGCGUAAAGGGCGCGUAGGCGGCGCGGUAAGUCACUUGUGAAAUCUCUGAGCUUAACUCAGAACGGCCAAGUGAUACUGCAGUGCUAGAGUGUGGAAGGGGCAAUCGGAAUUCUUGGUGUAGCGGUGAAAUGCGUAGAUAUCAAGAGGAACACCUGAGGUGAAGACGGGUUGCUGGGCCAACACUGACGCUGAGGCGCGAAAGCCAGGGGAGCAAACGGG